AAUGAGAGAGAAAAUCCAGAACAUUCAUUAUCACAUAAUCAUCUACCUCCUCUUCAAAUCAUUCAUCAUCAACAUAUACAAGCCAACACACCUACCUGCAAUCACCCUCAUCACUAUCAUACAAAAUCCAAAAACAACAACAAAGACAAAAAAAAUAGAAUACAACAUAAUCGUGUUGCAUAUUGACACAAAGAAACUCACCAAAUCACAACCAUAUUCAACA
rnacentral:lncRNA from 1 species